CGAUUAAUAUUGACUGCUAUUGAUGUAAAAUAUUACUAGGUCUUUAAGAGUUUAUUUGGAAGAUAACAGCUCUAUGAAUAUUCUUUCAUGGUGCCUGACUCUCUCUAGUUAAUUACAUUUACAUGAUUAGCUCAAUCAGGUAAUAUUAAUUACGGAUAAAUUAUUUUAUAGAAUACCAUGUCAUAUCACUUAAUCCGGCAUAGCCAAAAACACGACACUGUACUGAACUAAUUUGUCUGUUUCAGUGAAGUUGAUGGGAGGCCAAUUUGUGAAUCACAAGGUUGGCCAAAUAUGAGUCACAAAUCAGUAUUUGAGUAUUGUCUCAUACGUUUAUGGUUAUGGAUUACAUGUUCAUGGUAACCUAUCUUCAAAAACUCAUCAACAGAACUUGAAUUGUUUGAAUAUUUAAAUCAAUGUCUCUUUUUUUCUCUCUCCUCAGAUCCAAUAUUGCUGAUCAUGGGAAGUUGACUCACUGUCCUGAGGCUGAGUGACUUCUUGAAUGAAGAUAAGCUUUUAAGUUGGCCAUUAAAAUUGAAUUGUUUUUACCACUGUAGUUGCAAAAGAUUCAUUUCUCAGUUAAAAAGGGGAAUUCCACUUUUCUGUUUCUGUUGAGUCCGUAUGGUUUCAUAUCGUUAUGUGAGUUUCACAGCCUUCCUAAUGUGAUGUUAAAGGGGAACUUCACCCAUUUGAAGUUUGGGUGGCCUUAUUUUUCUCUUUAUAUAUAUUAUAUCUACUGUGCCAUUAAUCCAUGUUUGAAAGAUUUAACCUUAAUAUGCAAAUAUUGAGUUAUAGGAUGGUGGAAACAAAAUAUGUAAUAUUAGUGAGAUUGGUGUGUUUUAUAUACACAUUUUCAUAAUGCAUUCAGUCAAUGGAAAGUGAUUCAGCAAAAGUAAAACCAAUUUUCAGAAAUACGAUAUCAAAAAACUAUUUGGGAAAUCAACUACAAACAUUGAAAGGGAGAACAUAGAACAUGUGAAAAUGUGUUAACUUCCCCUUUAACUGACAGUAUAACAACAGCAUUUCCUCUUGGGGAUCAUUCAAAUAUAAAAUGCAAACAUUUUACAGUUUUGUUAUGGAUCGCCAUUAAACUCUAACUCACAUAGUAAUGAUUUUUUGAAACCAUCUAUAGAAUGGACUGGAGAACAGCGAACAGAACAAUUGAUUGUAAUUACCCCACUAAUGGUUAUUUUGAAAUGAUUUGUCUCUGCAUUCCUGAAAUAUGACGUACCAGUCACCAGCCAAAUGAAUGCAAAGCUGCAUGAUGAGUUGGGAACUGAAGUUGAUGGAGAAAUGUUUGAGGAGGUGCUGACACAGCCAAGUCCUGGUGUUUUCACAGUCACCCUGGACAAUGAUCCUGUGUCUUCCCAGAUGACUUCCUCCUUUGCCCGUUCCUUGUUGGAGAUCUCGGCCAUUGAGUCGGAUGAUACUGUCAUUCUGAGCGAUGAUUGGAGCCUUUCAAGAAAACGACAGAGAGCUGAGGAUGAAGCUAAACUGAGUGUAAUGUAAUAAGCAUCUGUUUAGAAUCAUUAAUUGCUAACCUCUCUUUCUCUUAACUAAUGUUCCGUAUAUCAGUUUACCCCCCUGAUAGUUGCGAGCUGUAAUCCAGUGCACACCUUUUUACCUGCAGUGUCCGAUGAGAGCGGGUAAGGAUGGUUUUGGAUUGUUCUUGAUCAUUUUCCUUUCAUAGUUAAUAAAUAACAUACUGAAGAAAAUCUGGUGGCGAUCUUGUCAUCAAUACUCUUGAACCAAAGGGCUGACUGAUGACACCUGAUGAAAGAUGAUACAUUUUCUCACAGCAGAGAUGACCGAGACUCACGUUUAAGCACUAAACCAGGCACGCAAGAAAGCUGUCUGUAUCUAAGAUGUAUUUCAGAUGAAUGUUGCUAUUAUAGCGACCGGAAUCAACAGGGGGCUUCAUUGCAAAUGGAUGAAUAAAGUACUCUUGUUGUCAGGACAUCAGCACCACGCCAUGAGGGAGACAUAUGCUCAAGGAAUUGUCGACUUGUUCCCUUACCUCAAGGACUCCUACAAAACUGAAGGAUAUGAACAUUAUUUUGACCCUCAAACUGGAAAUGGUUACUUGUCCUCUGAACCAUCCAGAGGAAUUCAGCUUCACCUGAGAAAUUACCACCUAGCCAGUCAUUCAGUGGUGGGCCAAUAGCUGAGAUAGAGACUCCAUCCCAUCCAGAGAUUAUCCUGAUUUGGUGAAAAGUGUAGGGAAGUCAUUUCCCUGAUGAAGCGUUCUUCUGAGGAGGUCACCAACAAGCAGAAGAUGACAUUUGAAUACAGACGGAAGAUGACUCAUGACCCAAGUAAAUGCUGCGAGUUGCUGACAGGAUUUCCACAAUUCAUGGAUAUGAAGUGCCUGGAUGGACAGUGACCUCUCCUCCAUCCUCCUCCAGCUCCUUUUGAUUCCCCCUUCAUCACAAGGCCACAAAAGACGAGGCAAGGCAGGAACCAGUAUCCAGAAACGCAUUGAUGCUAUUGCCCAAAGCAGUUAACCGUACCUCCUUGCUGCCAGGACCAAGAGGAGCAGCAUCCAUAGUUACUUGAUCAUCCUGGACAAGCAAGCUCUGCCAUGAAACUCUACAAGCACUUUUUUUCUUAAAACUUUAGUUUAUUUGUUAAAUAUUUUCUUUACUCUUCUUGAACUGCACUGUUGGUUAAGGGCUUGUAAGUAAGCAUUUCACGGUAAUGUCUACAGUUGUUGUAUUUGGCGCAUGUGAGAAAUAAAGUUUGAUUUGAUGAGCUAUUCGAUCUGAUGCUGCACAGUAUGUACACCUUCAUACAGACAACUGUGUACAAGAUAGAUAUUAGGAAGGUUAUAGAGAGUCCGUCUGUUGUAGAGCUUAGAGCUAGAUUCCUACACUUAAGUAGAAAUAUGGAGUUCAAAUAUGAUUUUUGUUUGUCAUGCUAGUCUUUGGACUUCCAUCUUGCUUGUUAGGAAUCUCUAGUUGGUUCAUGGACUUUGCCCUGGUAAAACACUUACGCUGAAAUGUGGUCAAACAGGUUGUUGUCAUGUAUUUGGUACUUUUCCAGGCUUAAGGAAACAUGGUACACAUGGGACAAGAGGAUGUUCUAUUGAACACUGACAUGAAUAACAAAGAUUAUAGUCAGCCAGUGAUGUCAUACCUACAACUUCUUAUGUCUUGUAUCCAACAAGAACAUCCUUGAUUUGUGUGUGUCAGCUAUUGCACAACUGCAGGCUGUGGGUGUAGUUCAGAUAACUGUAAAUAGUUCUGUAUCUUCCAUGGAAGAAGCAAAUAAAAUCAUUUUUAUUUUUUUUUAUUUGUCACAUACACAUGGUUA